GUCAGGAUAGCUCAGUUGGUAGAGCAG
rnacentral:tRNA from 1 species